rnacentral:tRNA from 2 species
GGCCCCAUCGUCUAGCGGUUAGGACGCCGGCCUCUCACGUCGGUAACAGGGGUUCAAGUCCCCUUGGGGUCA